rnacentral:rRNA from 1 species
GCGAUCAUACUAGUAUUAAUGCACUGGAUCUCAUCAGAACUCUGAACUUAAGUAUGCUUAGACGAGACUAGUACUACGAUGGGUGACCCCAUGGGAAGUCCUUGUGUUGCACACA